rnacentral:rRNA from 1 species
UACAGAGGGUGCAAGCGUUAAUCGGAAUUACUGGGCGUAAAGCGUGCGUAGACGGAUGCGUAAGUCAGAUGUGAAAGCCCCGGGCUCAACCUGGGAAUUGCAUUUGAGACUGCGUAGCUAGGGUGCGGAAGAGGGAAGCGGAAUUUCCGGUGUAGCGGUGAAAUGCGUAGAUAUCGGAAGGAACACCAGUGGCGAAAGCGGCUUCCUGGUCCAGCACCGACGUUCAGGCACGAAAGCGUGGGGAGCAAACAGG